UCUUCGAUGGUCUAGUGGUGAUGAUUUCCGCUUGUCAUCUUACCGAUACAAGUUCGCGGGAGACCGGGUUCGUCAUUUAUCUCCCUGAUCUUGCUAUAAAACACUAAUAUCUAUCCAGGGUUCGAUUCCCCGUCGGAGAG